UGCAACACCCUCUGUGACUGCGUGUUCUGACCUCCAGAAACGUUUGAUCCAUAAUGUUUUAGAGACAAUGAAGUAAAACCAACAUGUGCUCACCAACUAAUCAUCAGCAUCACGUGUGCUUGGGCUGCUGGUCCUGAUGUCCAGGUGUCUGAAGUUCCUGUUCUCAAUUAAUCACUGCAAUGUAUGGAACCUGCGUGGUAAUUGCUGUUAAGCCAUGCCUGCAGCUGGCUCCGGAUUGCUGCAGUGGAGGUAAUGGAUGCUGCAAGGAAGCACUGGCAGAGGAGGAGCGCAGGCUGUGAGGAAGGGCAUCAUACCUGUCCUUUGCAAUGAAGCAAGAAGGAGACUGGACUACGGGUCUGCCGCUCUCAGGUCAGGAGGUUAAAAUCAUUGAUGAGGACUCUCCAACGGGUGGCUUCGCAUUUCAUCUCCCUGCAUUGUCUACUCACAGCCCCGAGGAGGACGACGCGUUCACAGUCAAAGGUCAGUGUUUGAAAAACAGUUGGAAGGAUGUUUAAAAGUGCCCAAGAAACCAUUGGUGAGCUUUGGCCUUCUGAAAUGUUCACAGUGCUUUUCAGAUCUCCAGCCUACAAAUAGGCGCUUCUCCUGCUGGCAGACGCGGGUCUGAGGUUAAGCAGCUGGGGCGGUAACAGGCUGAUGAGCCCCAGUAUGUGCAGGAGGGACUGGUUGUGCUGGUGGUACUGGUGGACCCGAGUCCGGCAGCUCUCUCCGCUCUGGCAGCUGUCUCCUUUGUGCUUAGGCAAAUGUGGAAAGACCCCACCGGUAGCUCAUUACAAGUCACUCACUGGUUCUCCCCAUGCAGCUGCCUUUCCCUCGGGGUUGGAAAGGCUGCCCCAUAGCUCUGAGAGGAGGGCAGCAUUUCUCUGCGUCCUUCCAUGCUGGAUGUGCCAGACUGCACAGCAGGCCUUCUCCAGUGGUUGCAGGCUGUGGGGAGAAGCUUCUCCUUCCACGUGCUGCUGCUGCAGGAUGGUGCUGAGUGCUGCUGUGGUGCACGUGGGGUACAGGAGGCACCAGGCGGAGACACGGCCCCAGAGCAUGCGAGCAAGGCCAGUCACACACGGAUUUUGGGACUGUUCUUUGCAGGCUGCGUUUGCAAGGAGCCCUCAGUUUUAGCACCACCAAAACCACUUCUGUGUUCUCCUGAUGAUUUACCUCGUAAAAUGACAGUUGUAGAGCAAGCAAUUAAUUAAUCAGGUCUCAGGUUGUUAUCCUUGUCUUGGCUUGGAUUUGAUAAGAUGUUUGGGGUGGUUACACGAGAGAAGGCUCGCCCUCAUGGGUACGGGCCAACAAGUCCAGCAGCAGGGGACGGGUGGCCAAUAACGCCAUGCCAGAGAGGUUGUCCGGGCAGCACACACUUUCAUCUUAAUGAGGAAGAGAGCAAAAGCAAGUCUGUAACCUUUAAAUACGCACAUGCUUUAAGGGCAGGGGCAGAGGGAAGAGGGGGCAGGGAAGGGGGCUGUCCCUGCAUCGGCUGCUGGGCAGCAGCAGCCCCAUUGCCAGCAACCCCAUCGACGUGUGCUGCGGCUGGGUGGCACCAGACUGCGGGACUUGGACGUGCAGGGGAAAAAAAAAACAAACAUUUUCAGACCUGAACUUAAUUUUAUGUGUGACCUCUGUGGAAUGAAAGCUUCACUCAAAAGGGAAAGAACAUCCUAACCCGAUCUGCCCGGCCCUCUUUGCUGUCUAAGCCACAGAAGCUGCAUUAACCCACUGCUAAGACACUAAAAUACUCUUAGUUCAGCUAGGAAAAGCUCCUUUGCGCGUAGUCAGGGAUUAUAGCACUUGGUUCUGAAGGGUGAAACAUUCAUGUUUCUGGGGGAGAAGGCCUCUCUCUUCCACCUGCAAACACAAAGUCACCACGUCAGUCUCAGUGGCCGGUGCUUCCCCUCUGUGCGGUUCUGCCCGGCCCUCUCGUCUGAGCAAGGGUGCGCAUCGCUAUGGGGAGGAUGGAGGCUCAGCAUCAUUACUUUAUCCAGAAGUAAUUCGCUAUUUAUAAACCCACUAUCCUGGGUCAGCUGAAGAUAUGAUUAACUUAUGGCGAGCUUAGCAUGUAAGCUCACAAAGUUUAAGCUUGUGUCCAACUGCUUUCCUGGACUGGGACUCAGCCUCGAGGCUUGUUGCUGCAUUUGAUAAUGAGGGCCUGCUAAAAGACAAUUGCAGAGACACUUGCGUGGACCUGAAAUCAGAAAUGCCAAAUCAUUUCCUGCAAGACCCUGGGCAGGCACUGACUGUAAAAACUUACCCCUGCACUGCAGAGACCUGGGGCUGUGAACCGGUGACCUCCGGCGGAAAGGCUCUGUCCCUGCUUACUGGUGCCUCUGAAUCAUGCAGUCCCUCAAAAAUCUUCCCAGAAAAUGAACAAGUGGAAUACAAAUGACAGCGUUAGCUGUGUUUGUGGAGCAGAAGCAGCACAUAGGAAAAUAAGUGUAUUUGUUGCUCGAAAAUGUGAGGACACGGCAGUAUGUCUAUGUCUGUGCCGCGCUUCUUCCCUGGAUUAAUGACGAAACUUCUCACAAUGAACUUCUCCAAGCACAUUUUCUACCUAUGGCUGACUCAGGCAUUGUAUGCAUUUCUGAAGAACAUAUGCAUA